rnacentral:rRNA from 1 species
GGGGCCAUCCCGGCUUACCAACCCGAUGCAAACUGCGAAUACCGGAGAAUGUUAUCACGGGAGACACACGGCGGGUGCUAACGUCCGUCGUGAAGAGGGAAACAACCCAGACCGCCAGCUAAGGUCCCAAAGUCAUGGUUAAGUGGGAAACGAUGUGGGAAGGCCCAGACAGCCAGGAUGUUGGCUUAGAAGCAGCCAUCAUUUAAAGAAAGCGUAAUAGCUCACUGGUCGAGUCGGCCUGCGCGGAAGAUGUAACGGGGCUAAACCAUGCACCGAAGCUGCGGCAGCGAACGUAUCACCCAAGACAACUUUACGGAGUUGACGAUUGACGGAGCGAAGCGACGUCAAAGCGUUCAUUAAAGUCGAGUUGGCUUAGGGAUACGUUCGUUGGGUAGGGGAGCGUUCUGUAAGCCUGUGAAGGUGUGUCGUGAGGCAUGCUGGAGGUAUCAGAAGUGCGAAUGCUGACAUAAGUAACGAUAAAGCGGGUGAAAAGCCCGCUCGCCGGAAGACCAAGGGUUCCUGUCCAACGUUAAUCGGGGCAGGGUGAGUCGACCCCUAAGGCGAGGCCGAAAGGCGUAGUCGAUGGGAAACGGGUUAAUAUUCCCGUACUUGGUGUUACUGCGAAGGGGGGACGGAGAAGGCUAUGUUGGCCGGGCGACGGUUGUCCCGGUUUAAGCGUGUAGGUGUGUGUUCCAGGUAAAUCCGGUUCACUUUAACACUGAGGCGUGACGACGAGGCACUACGGUGCUGAAGCAACAAAUGCCCUGCUUCCAGGAAAAGCCUCUAAGCAUCAGGUAACA